UACGUAGGGGGCAAGCGUUGUCCGGAAUUAUUGGGCGUAAAGAGCGCGUAGGCGGUCCGAUAAGUCGGCUGUGAAAGUCAGGGGCUCAACCCUUGAAAGCCGGCCGAUACUGUCGGACUAGAGUCCGGAAGAGGCAAGUGGAAUUCCCGGUGUAGCGGUGAAAUGCGCAGAUAUCAGGAAGAACACCCGUGGCGAAGGCGGCUCUCUGGGACGUGACUGACGCUGAGACGCGAAAGCGUGGGGAGCAAACAGG
rnacentral:rRNA from 1 species